rnacentral:rRNA from 1 species
UUGAGCAAACAAUCAUUCUGGCUCAUACAGAUCAUACAUUGAGACUAAGCAGGGCUGAGCCUGGUUAGUACCUGCAUGGAAGACCACAUGGGAAAACUAGGUUGCUGUUGGAA